rnacentral:rRNA from 1 species
UACGGGGGGGGCAAGCGUUGCUCGGAAUUACUGGGCGUAAAGGGCGCGUAGGCGGUUUGCUAAGUUGAAUGUGAAAACUCUGGGCUUAACCCAGAGCCUGCAUUCAAUACUGGCAGGCUAGAGUCCGGAAGAGGAGAAUGGAAUUCCUGGUGUAGCGGUGAAAUGCGCAGAUAUCAGGAAGAACACCCGUGGCGAAGGCGGUUCUCUGGGACGGUACUGACGCUGAGACGCGAAAGCGUGGGGAGCGAACAGG